UGCAGUCGAGCGGACCGACGGGAGCUUGCUCCCUUAGGUCAGCGGCGGACGGGUGAGUAACACGUGGGUAACCUGCCUGUAAGACUGGGAUAACUCCGGGAAACCGGGGCUAAUACCGGAUGCUUGAUUGAACCGCAUGGUUCAAUCAUAAAAGGUGGCUUUUAGCUACCACUUACAGAUGGACCCGCGGCGCAUUAGCUAGUUGGUGAGGUAACGGCUCACCAAGGCGACGAUGCGUAGCCGACCUGAGAGGGUGAUCGGCCACACUGGGACUGAGACACGGCCCAGACUCCUACGGGAGGCAGCAGUAGGGAAUCUUCCGCAAUGGACGAAAGUCUGACGGAGCAACGCCGCGUGAGUGAUGAAGGUUUUCGGAUCGUAAAACUCUGUUGUUAGGGAAGAACAAGUACCGUUCGAAUAGGGCGGUACCUUGACGGUACCUAACCAGAAAGCCACGGCUAACUACGUGCCAGCAGCCGCGGUAAUACGUAGGUGGCAAGCGUUGUCCGGAAUUAUUGGGCGUAAAGCGCGCGCAGGCGGUUUCUUAAGUCUGAUGUGAAAGCCCCCGGCUCAACCGGGGAGGGUCAUUGGAAACUGGGGAACUUGAGUGCAGAAGAGGAGAGUGGAAUUCCACGUGUAGCGGUGAAAUGCGUAGAGAUGUGGAGGAACACCAGUGGCGAAGGCGACUCUCUGGUCUGUAACUGACGCUGAGGCGCGAAAGCGUGGGGAGCGAACAGGAUUAGAUACCCUGGUAGUCCACGCCGUAAACGAUGAGUGCUAAGUGUUAGAGGGUUUCCGCCCUUUAGUGCUGCAGCAAACGCAUUAAGCACUCCGCCUGGGGAGUACGGUCGCAAGACUGAAACUCAAAGGAAUUGACGGGGGCCCGCACAAGCGGUGGAGCAUGUGGUUUAAUUCGAAGCAACGCGAAGAACCUUACCAGGUCUUGACAUCCUCUGACAACCCUAGAGAUAGGGCUUCCCCUUCGGGGGCAGAGUGACAGGUGGUGCAUGGUUGUCGUCAGCUCGUGUCGUGAGAUGUUGGGUUAAGUCCCGCAACGAGCGCAACCCUUGAUCUUAGUUGCCAGCAUUCAGUUGGGCACUCUAAGGUGACUGCCGGUGACAAACCGGAGGAAGGUGGGGAUGACGUCAAAUCAU
rnacentral:rRNA from 1 species